GCUGUUUUGGCUCAGUGGAUAGAGCAUCAGGCUGCAAACUGAAGGGUCCCGGGUUUGAUUCCUGGUCAAGGGCA
rnacentral:tRNA from 1 species